CGGAAUUACUGGGCGUAAAGAGCUCGUAGGUGGUUUGUCGCGUUGUUCGUGAAAUCUCACGGCUUAACUGUGAGCGUGCGGGCGAUACGGGCAGACUUGAGUACUGCAGGGGAGACUGGAAUUCCUGGUGUAGCGGUGGAAUGCGCAGAUAUCAGGAGGAACACCGGUGGCGAAGGCGGGUCUCUGGGCAGUAACUGACGCUGAGGAGCGAAAGCGUGGGGAGCGAACAGGAUUAGAUACCCUGGUAGUCCACGCCGUAAACGGUGGGUACUAGGUGUGGGUUUCCUUCCUUGGGAUCCGUGCCGUAGCUAACGCAUUAAGUACCCCGCCUGGGGAGUACGGCCGCAAGGCUAAAACUCAAAGAAAUUGACGGGGGCCCGCACAAGCGGCGGAGCAUGUGGAUUAAUUCGAUGCAACGCGAAGAACCUUACCUGGGUUUGACAUGCACAGGACGCCGGCAGAGAUGUCGGUUCCCUUGUGGCCUGUGUGCAGGUGGUGCAUGGCUGUCGUCAGCUCGUGUCGUGAGAUGUUGGGUUAAGUCCCGCAACGAGCGCAACCCUUGUCUCAUGUUGCCAGCGGGUAAUGCCGGGGACUCGUGAGAGACUGCCGGGGUCAACUCGGAGGAAGGUGGGGAUGACGUCAAGUCAUCAUGCCCCUCAUGUCCAGGGCUUCACACAUGCUACAAUGGCCGGUACAAAGGGCUGCGAUGCCGCGAGGUUAAGCGAAUCCUUUUAAAGCCGGUCUCAGUUCGGAUCGGGGUCUGCAACUCGACCCCGUGAAGUCGGAGUCGCUAGUAAUCGCAGAU
rnacentral:rRNA from 1 species